rnacentral:rRNA from 1 species
GGCGCUAUGCUGGCGACGUGCCUAAUACAUGCAAGUCGAGCGGACAGAUGGGAGCUUGCUCCCUGAUGUUAGCGGCGGACGGGUGAGUAACACGUGGGUAACCUGCCUGUAAGACUGGGAUAACUCCGGGAAACCGGGGCUAAUACCGGAUGGUUGUCUGAACCGCAUGGUUCAGACAUAAAAGGUGGCUUCGGCUACCACUUACAGAUGGACCCGCGGCGCAUUAGCUAGUUGGUGAGGUAACGGCUCACCAAGGCGACGAUGCGUAGCCGACCUGAGAGGGUGAUCGGCCACACUGGGACUGAGACACGGCCCAGACUCCUACGGGAGGCAGCAGUAGGGAAUCUUCCGCAAUGGACGAAAGUCUGACGGAGCAACGCCGCGUGAGUGAUGAAGGUUUUCGGAUCGUAAAGCUCUGUUGUUAGGGAAGAACAAGUGCCGUUCAAAUAGGGCGGCACCUUGACGGUACCUAACCAGAAAGCCACGGCUAACUACGUGCCAGCAGCCGCGGUAAUACGUAGGUGGCAAGCGUUGUCCGGAAUUAUUGGGCGUAAAGGGCUCGCAGGCGGUUUCUUAAGUCUGAUGUGAAAGCCCCCGGCUCAACCGGGGAGGGUCAUUGGAAACUGGGGAACUUGAGUGCAGAAGAGGAGAGUGGAAUUCCACGUGUAGCGGUGAAAUGCGUAGAGAUGUGGAGGAACACCAGUGGCGAAGGCGACUCUCUGGUCUGUAACUGACGCUGAGGAGCGAAAGCGUGGGGAGCGAACAGGAUUAGAUACCCUGGUAGUCCACGCCGUAAACGAUGAGUGCUAAGUGUUAGGGGGUUUCCGCUCCUUAUUGCUGCAGCUAACGCAUUAAGCACUCCGCCUGCGGAGUACGGUCG